AAAUAACUCAAGCGAUCUGUUACCACCAAAGAGUUUAAUACAUUGUUGUAACUUAAAAAUUCUACAUUGCUGAUUAUAUUAAAACUUUUAAAUUGCCAGAGUAAUUUUAUUAAGUUUACACAACAGGAAAAUAUUGAUAAUUACAUCAACUUAAAAAAGAGGGUAAUUUAAAGAUAAAUAUACCUGUCAAUUAGUUUAAAACAAUAUUUAACUUAUAACAACCCAAAAAAAUUGCGUUGAUAACUCAAUUUUUUCACACCAACCGAGUUCUGGAUUUCAAAGCUCCUCCCUCACUGAACGAUCAACAGGCAUGUCCGGACAAGUUUUAAGCAGACUGUUUGGCACAAAGGAUACUUUAAGAACUGCAAUUUCAGAACUAACAUUUAUGGAACAUUUGCUUCGCACAGAAGCCGAAAACAUACUCCUCACUCAUUGCAUGACUUCAAGGCAGACAUAAUAAAAAGGUAUGUAUGUUCAUUCAAUGCAGAUCAACACAGUGAUGUGGAAGGUCAAAGUGGGGAUCUGUCUGAUGAAGGUCAAGAUGACAAUAAUGAUGUGACAGACCUGCCAAACUGCAUAGAAAAAAAAAAUAGCUUUGUUGUUUCUAAAACUGGAGAGCACUUUUAAUGUAUCUUACAGGUGUAUAAAAGAGGUUGGUAAAGAGUUAAAUUUUAUAUCUCGAUCAGCAUCUGGACCCAUCAUCAAAGUUGUUGCAGAUAAAAUGGGCAAGAAAUAAGGGAUAUCUUGGAGCGCUGGCCUGCAUUAUCAGAUGCAACACAGAUAAAUGAAGAAUUCAAGAGGAUAACCACUGUAGGUCUUGAAUCCACAUUUAUGGCCAAACUUGACAAAUGCACCCCAAAACUAAUGGACCUGGCCUCAUCCAGGGGAGGAGCUAAAGGGGAAAUAAUCGGAAGGAUUAAGGACAUGCUUCUUGAGAACAAUGCAGUUGAAGUAUGGAGAGAAGUAGCCAUUCACUGUCUUGUUGUCUAUCUUGGAGAGAAAGAAGAGGAUCUUUUCAAGGAGUUUGCUAAUACACAAGAAAUUGAGGCAGACCUUGAAAAGCAAGUGAUGAAAAUUGCCAUCAUUGGUGAUCUGUCAACUAUGGAAUUAAACCACAAGACGGGAACCAUCAUUGUUGAGGGAAUCAGAAUCCUGAUUGGAAUGGAUAUCUCAAGGUGUUGUGCUCUGCUAACGGGCAUAAUAUAUGCUCUGAAUCUGAGCUACCCCAAGGAGCUUAAAUAUACUUGUUAAGUGUUUCAGAAGCUGUUUCUUGAACUUGAUGGACUGAAUCCCAGUGCAAAAGUAAUGCGUCUCAAGAACAGCAUUUUCUGAAGCCUCUACUUAUUUCAAAGUACAUUUUGCUCUUUAUGUUGCAACUACAUUGUUUUGUAUUUUGAAGUCCACAUGCUGAUCUUUUUAUUUCAUACUGUUUAUAUGAAUGGUGGCAUUUAUAUAUGUUUGUUUAUAAUAAUACAAAUGUUACAUGUUUUACAAUUAAGGUUAACUAAUAACAAGUAGUUUGUAAAAUAUUCAAUUUAUAAGUUAAUAGUUAGCUUUAAGUGUAUCAAUGCCUAUAACUCUUGUUUUGAUGGAAUUCAUUGUGAUGGCAUAGCUAUGCAUGCAUGCACAUUUUUGAAGGCAAAGCUGACGGGUCAGUUUGUUUAUAAUUUGUGAGACAGUACACAUUUGUGUUGUGUAAACUUUGAGAAGUGCAAUAUUUAAAAUAAAAAACUGAAAACUG